GUGUAGGAGAUUCAAAGAGAAAAAAGAAGUUGCAGAACCAGAAGCUGAUCCUAAAAGGGACCAGAGAACUGUUUUGCUUAUCAAAUGCAUUUGAAAGCGACAGAGAGGGAUGUUUAUGAAUUCUUCUCAAAAGCAGGAAAGUAAAUGCUCAUGUGCCUUCAAUGAGGCCUAUUAUAAUGACUUUUUUGUGGCUCAACAUUCUUUUAUUUGGUGAGUGUGAAAAGAAUUGGAAGUCUGAUUGCUCACCAUAUUGGGUGCAGUCCUUAGGGUGAUGUUAUGUGUAGUUAGAGACGUGCGGCUGAUCAUGGAUCGAAACUCAAGACGAUCAAAAGGAGUUGGGAACUACUUUGAAAGAUUUGAGAGGACCACUCCCUAGUCAAUCUGUUCUGGAAGCACAGGUUAUAGAAGAAAAGAGAAAGAACCAGAUGCUUCAACAACGCUUAGAUGAGCAGGAGCAACAACAAUAAAUGAUGUCUGAGUUGGAGUCAUAAGUGAAAGCUAUGCAAGAACUUUUUUUAGGCAAUCAUCUUCAUUGACUCCUCAAACUCGAGAACAUGUGCAGGACUAGGCUAUCCAUGCAAGAUUAGGAGGGGGGUAGCUCGAGUCU